AGUGAACGCUGGCGGUAGGCCUAACACAUGCAAGUCGAACGGCAGCACAGUAAGAGCUUGCUCUUACGGGUGGCGAGUGGCGGACGGGUGAGGAAUACAUCGGAAUCUACUUUUUCGUGGGGGAUAACGCAGGGAAACUUACGCUAAUACAGCAUACGACCUACGGGUGAAAGCAGGGGAUCUUCGGACCUUGCGCGAUUGAAUGAGCCGAUGUCGGAUUAGCUAGUUGGCGGGGUAAGGGCCCACCAAGGCGACGAUCCGUAGCUGGUCUGAGAGGAUGAUCAGCCACACUGGAACUGAGACACGGUCCAGACUCCUACGGGAGGCAGCAGUGGGGAAUAUUGGACAAUGGGCGCAAGCCUGAUCCAGCCAUACCGCGUGGGUGAAGAAGGCCUUCGGGUUGUAAAGCCCUUUUGUUGGGAAAGAAAAGCAGCAGGUUAAUACCCCGCUGUUCUGACGGUACCCAAAGAAUAAGCACCGGCUAACUUCGUG
rnacentral:rRNA from 1 species